AGCAUAAAGAGAGGUGACGAGGGCACUGGCCCAACGACUCACCCAGCAACCGAGUCUUUCAAAAAAAAGAAUACGGUGCUAAACCCAGCCCAUAUGGGACGGAUGUGUU
rnacentral:ncRNA from 2 species